rnacentral:rRNA from 1 species
AGUGAACGCUGGCGGUAGGCCUAACACAUGCAAGUCGAACGGCAGCACAGUAAGAGCUUGCUCUUACGGGUGGCGAGUGGCGGACGGGUGAGGAAUACAUCGGAAUCUACUUUUUCGUGGGGGAUAACGUAGGGAAACUUACGCUAAUACCGCAUACGACCUACGGGUGAAAGCAGGGGAUCUUCGGACCUUGCGCGAUUGAAUGAGCCGAUGUCGGAUUAGCUAGUUGGCGGGGUAAAGGCCCACCAAGGCGACGAUCCGUAGCUGGUCUGAGAGGAUGAUCAGCAACUCGGAAACUAGGAACGGGUCCAACACCCUAAGGGAGGCAGCGGGGGGAAAUUUUGGGCAAGGGGCGGAAGCCAGUCCCAGCCAAACCGGGGGGGUGAAAAAGGCCUUGGGGUUGUAAAGCCUUUUUGUGGGGAAAGAAAAGCAGCAGGUUAACCCCCCGGUUUUUUACCGGUCCCAAAAAAAAAACCCCCGGUAACUUUGGG